rnacentral:rRNA from 1 species
CGCUUCCUACGGGACGCAGCAGUGGGGAAUAUUGCACAAUGGGGGGAACCCUGAUGCAGCGACGCCGCGUGAGUGAAGAAGUAUUUCGGUAUGUAAAGCUCUGUCAGCAGGGAAGAAAGAAAUGACGGUACCUGACCAAGAAGCCCCGGCUAACUACGUGCCAGCAGCCGCGGUAAUACGUAGGGGGCAAGCGUUAUCCGGAAUUACUGGGUGUAAAGGGAGCGUAGACGGUUAAGUAAGUCUGGAGUGAAAGGCCGGGGCCCAACCCCGGGACUGCUCUGGAAACUAUUCAACUUGA